CAUUUCCCUCUCCUGCUGUUAGUGUGUCUGUGAUGUUACCAGAUAAAAUAGUUUCCUGAUAUAGAAUAUAAGGGGGAGCUAACAUGAACAUGCACACGCGCACACAAACAUUCAUUCCCAGCACACAUCCUCACCCAAAUGAAAGAUAUUUCCCCCUUUCUGGUCUUAGGAGUACACAGAUAUUGUAAUAAAACUAUCAUGGUGUUGAUCGAAGUAGAUUGGCACCACCUCAAUUAUUUUUACAAAGGCGCCGCUGUAUAAUUGACAAUUUUUUUUUCAAUCAUCAGUAGACCUGUUUAGAAUGAAAGGAAACAGAUUCAGGCACCUUAUUUUUUUACAACCCACACCAAGAGUAUGUGAUAAAUUAGAAGUUUAAUUCAACGCCCGCCAAGAAACUGACGUAGCAAGCAGUUUGUGCGACUUAAUUUUCUCUCCCUGCUUGUAAACAACUAUAAUCCCCUUUAUUUUUUGUUUUUGUUUUUUUCCCACAGGGCCGCCAUUGGUUUGCGCCAAGCUCAAACUGACCGCACCAACUUGACUUUUUUUUCCAAAAGGAAACACAUCUCCAGUUCGCACUGUCCAUUGUCCCUGAAAACACCUCUUGGUAUGACACUCUGGGCCCAGCUGCACGGAGAAGGCACAGCACUACGAAGGACUUAGGAAGGUGUGAAAAUGAUUAACUCCAAAGAGAUGCCUAAGUUUGCAGCCUGUUUCGUGAGCAGUCGGCUAAGGGCUGAGACUACAGAAUGUGUUUGAGAGACAGGCCGGUGGGAAAGCAGUCAACACGAAGAAAGCAUGGCCGACCUUUUGUACAAACACCGGCUGUCCCCUGCCUGACAUUCCCGCAGCCCCUCGCGUCACUUUUGUCUCGUCGCUCCCGUCGCAGGCAUUUCUUUCCGAUGCUUCAUCGUCCGCAGCCAGGAGGCGAGAGAAAGAGGAAGAAGUGGAAGAAAGGGGUGACCUCUUGAGAGUUCAGCCCCCUUAUAGUGACCAGCAAGUCUAGCUGCGACUAAAAAAAUGUAAAUCUGAACUUCACAACAGUGGAAGUCUUUCCACACUACACAAAGGAAUUAAAGCUUCUCCCUAUCUGUGGCCACUCCUGCGGACUCUUCAGGAUUUUUCAAAGGAGAAUCUUAAACAAAAUUUCCACCUAGCUUACGAGAUUUCACUCUUCCAAAAUGGACGAGAUUCGAUUUGUAGCGACCCUACUAGCAUGUUUAGUAGCGCUGACGUCACGCAGCGUGUGCGCAUGCCCACCGGACUCCGCCUUGCGUGCGCAGCAGUGCUUCACUGACCUCGCCAGAGGUGUUUCCGGCACCAGGGCGGAAAGGUUCGAUCCCAGCGCCACCGGAAAUGACGAAAGCAACGCUGUUGGUGGACAAAACAGUAGAAGCAGCGGGUUGCGACCAGAUCAGCCUCUGUAUCGGGGGGAUGCCAGCGGCAUCAUACCCCUGGACUAUCGGAAAAUUCGAGAAUACUGCGACGAGGGAGGUCACAUGAGAAGAUUUCUGAGCUUGCGUGGACAACCUGCUGACCUUCUGCCCUGAACUGCCACAAGAUGGCGCCCUCCGUAAGCUCAUCAACCCAGAACACGUGCGGACAAGUGUGCCGAAAUCUUUGUAACAAUGUGGACAAGGUGGAAGCAGGGUCAGAGUGCAUGAACAACGAGAUGAACCGUGGGAGUGAGUGCAAGCGACGGGCGUACAACAUGAUAAAGCCAGGUGCACACCAGACCAUGGCCAACUCCACGUCAACAUUUAUCACGCAAUGCAGGUUCUUCCGCGCGCUCGUUGAGUGCCAGCGUGUGGCUGUCUCCACCAGCUGCAGCACUGACCUCGGUGACCUCCACGCGGACUUCCUGCUGUCCUUCGUUCCGGACACAUGCCUGGACAGUGCCACCCUCGACGCCAUCGGCCUCCAGGAGAGCAAAGGUCAGCUGUCAGACCUUCUGCUGGGGAAGGUGCAGGGCCAGGGACCCGAGGACGAGAACAAGCUGCGCCAACUGGUACAUGGGAAAGUAAAGGGAGGGAGGAAAUCGCCUGAAGUCAAAAAGCCGAAGGCGACUGAAGACGCGCCAGUAGAGGGAAAAGAUACAACAAGUAGACAAAGAUGAUACAUUUGUCACACUUCCAUCCGAUGAGGUCUCCAUCAAAGCAACUACUGAGUCAGGGAACACAACUUCCGUGCCAGCAUCGCCUGGAGUUGAAUCGGAGGAAAUUAGCCCCUUGUCGUCUGCUUCUUUCAUUUUUAUGAAAUCGUCGGUAUUAUUUUACGUGGUUUCCUUUAAUCAUGUUUUGAAGAUGUGGGGACAGGGUUAAACUUAAAGGUCAAGAACAUUUAAUGUUUCUGCCUUCUACUGGUCAAAAACAACAUUUUUGUACCGGUUUCGCUCAAUGACCUGGUUACUGUAACAGAUGUUCACAGUUUGUAUUCGUUGAUAUUCGUUUGCUUCGAAUAAAAAAAUGUCUUGGGGUAGUUCUUUCCUGAAUUUCGUGCCUAUGGUUCCUUAUCUGGUGUGUGUUUUUAUUUGGAUGUAAUUUAGAAACAAAGAUUUGUAGAACUGUACAACAUUUUCAUAAGUGCAUUUUCAUAUUUUCACCCUUGUUUGACUUGUUUUUGAAAGUAUGAUUUUUUGCAUUAAUUGAUUUUUGUCUUCUUGGCCAGUAAUCACGCCUAGAAAUUAUGCAUUCGAGCUGAACUAAUUUUUUGUGGAAGAAUUCUAGUUAUUUUGCCUGCUGCUUGUGGUUUCUUUCCUUUUUGAUGUCUGUGUUUUAUUUUUUUCUUCCUUUCAACUCAUCCCUUUUUCCGAAGACAUGGUGGGUAAAACAUUGUUUCUGUUAAACAGUAUUCUUUACAAGUUGUUACUCGAGAAGAAGUGUCUUUGAAGCAUUUCACAUGUAAAUUAAAUUAAUAACUUGUAA